UUUUUAAUUGGAAAAAUAGAAACUAAAAAUCCAAUCUUUGCGCGAUCUGACAAUAAAAAUUCAACAUUUCAUUAAUCUCAAAAAAAUCCAAAUUUUAUACCCCACCUUCUUCAACAGAUCCAUUUAACCUGUAACCGGUUAAACAAGGUUUUUUUUUUUUUUCCUCUUACUUUACCUUCUCACUCCUCCUCUUUCUCUCUUCUCUUUCCUCAAAAACUGAAACAAAGUACGCAGCAUGCACCUCCGCCGCCGCCACCUCCACCACCACCACCACCUCUGCCACAAUUUAGAGAGAGAGGAAGAAGAGCGUUACUUUUACGCGAACAGCCGCAUUUUCCGGCACCACCCAACAAUCCUCCUUACGCUAAACAACAAGCUUUCCCAUUCUCAUUUACAUUCUCUCUCCUCCUUCAUUCUUUGUUUGAAUUAAUCUGAGGAGAGAGAAAAAUUCAUACCCUUUUCACAUUUUGAGCUUCACGUCACUUUUCUCUCUCUCCCUUUGUCUUUGAUUUCUUGAAUUUUGUUUUUUUCAGUGAAUUAAUUAGUGUAAAGUUUUUUUUUGUUGAAAUUGGAUUAAAACCCAUGUAAAUGGUUGCAUCAAGUUUGAAUUUUGAUGUCAAAGUUGAGAGAUUUUUGUAGUAUGAAUUUGUGUUCUGCUAAUUGUUCAAUUUUGGGUGUUUGUUGAAUGUUUGAAGUAUCUCAAUCAUGAAUGUUUGUUUAAACUGCCUAAUUUUGGGUGUUAUGGGUUUCAGCAAAAGGGGAUGGGCGUUUUUGUUGGUGGCUGGGCGUCUGUGUUGGUGGCGGGGCGGUGGAGUUGAUGUAUCUGUGUUUUUGUUGGUGGAUGGGUGUGUAUGUUGGUGGCAGGGGAAGUUGGUGGUGGUGUACGUUGGAUUCCGGCGGACUGUGCGUUUUUGUUGGUGGCGUGUGUGUUGGGUUCCGAUGGGCGGUGGCCGCGCAGGGAAGGGAGGGGGAGAAGGUUUGGUGGCAGGGGAAGGUGGUGGUGGCGUAAAAGGGGAUUCUGAAUUUUUUUUUCUUUUAAUUAUUUUUGUUUUUUAAUAAUUAAAAAGAUAAUUGACCUAUUAUUAGCUGACACAUGGCAUAUAACUUACAAAAAUCAGAGCUAAAUGGAGUGUUGAGAUGCAUUAGCAAAUGCAUCUUCAGGGGUAAGCUGGUAAAUUCUCAUGAUUGAGUGGAAAUCCACAUCACCUUCCGUUAUGCUUUUUGUCAGCCCGUUUUUAUAGUAUAUCGUAUUUUGUAAAUGUAUUUGGUAUAGUACUCCUUAUUUUGUAUUUGCUUGAGGGUAUUUUUUCUCUCUCUUCCAUUUACCCCUCCUUCGAUCUGUCUUCUCACUCUCUCUCCCCGCUGAUAUUCGGACCCUUAUUUUCUCCUCCUAACCAAUUUUUGAAUUUGAAUUUCGAACCCUUCUUCUCUGUAUUCCUUAUCCCUCCAUCUCCAUCAUUCGUGAUUUGCGUUGGGGGUUUGUUGAAGAAUUCUUUCCGGGAUUGCUGCGGGGCGAACUGAAGGGUUUUACGCAUCAGUCGUGGAACAAUUUGACCCAAUAGUAGGUUUGUAUUAUUCCCUACAAAAAUUAUGAGAUCGAAGACAGUUGUGCGAUCGAAGAACUGGAAACAUGUGACGGAUCCAUCAACUUCUAAGGCCCCUGGUAAGGCCCUUGUGAAAGGGGGGUCUGAAGUGAAGGGGAUGCACAAAACUAACAAGAGGGAAAAGCUACCGAAGAAGUCUAAAAAUGUUGUUGUUGAAGAUACUGAAGAAGACAAUGGGUCUGAUGAGCAGACUGAUGAAGACAUUGAGGAGGACUCCUGCUCACCCUCUGAGUUCAUGAAGAUGAUGAUGUAGUUCAUGAAGAGGUGAAAUAACCGAAGGCCAAAAAGUUGUGAGGGAAGGGGCAGUGUUGAAGACCCAUCAUGAGAACGUCGGAAAGUACCCCAACAUUGUAUGCAGAGUCGAGUCUUUCUGCGAAGCUGUCAAACAUUUUGAUUCAAGAAGACGUGCUUUAGUGACACAAAUGGGGUUUCAAGGUCUUUUAGAGAUUGACAUGAAAAGUAUACCAAGGCAAUUUUGCUAUUGGUUGAUGACAAGAGUGCUUCCUGAUGGCACGAUGGUGUUUGGGCAGAGUGAGGUGUUACCCUUAGGUCCCGCUCAAGUGAGGUCUGUACUUGGGUUACCAAUGGGUGCUGAAAAAGUUCCUUUUGAUGUUGGUGAAGAUGAUGAGGAGAAGGUGGAGAAGAUGAGAAGGAUUUUUUAUCUUUACGGUGUCGGUUCGAAUAAAGAAACCAUUUCGUUGAAAUAUGCUUCAGAUGCAUUAUGUCCGUUGGAUGAAUCGGGUCAACCAAUUCCCCUUGCUGAUGAAGUUGAGGAGGAGGAUUUCAUGGUAGCCUUUCUACUUGUCGCUCUUGGUAAAGUGGUUUGUACAACCACUAAUAAUUCAAACUUUGCCAAGUCACUCCUACCAGCAUUGACAGUGGCUACUGAGGCUGUCAAGUAUGACUGGUGUUCGCUGACUUUUGAGUGGCUAUGCGACACAGCUAACAUAUUUCAUAGGAAGUUUCAGAAAGAUGGUUUUAGGUCUGGAUGUGGGGGUAGCUUUCUGUUCAUUAUCACUAGUACAAAACUAACCUUAAGUAACACCCAAAAAAUGUUACAUAAUGUGGUAAAUGUGUUAUUAUAGACAAUAGGUAACACUUUAGUGGGUGAUACUUCCGCCCAUGUUACCUAAGGUCUUAUGUAACAAUUUGGGUAAUGUAUGGUAACACUUUUAAAAGUGUUACUUUAAACCUUCUUAUGUAACACUUUUUUAUAUUGUUAGUAUCAUUUUUAAAGUGUUACCUUUUAUUUCUUGGGUAACACUUAAUUAUCUUUAGUAACAUUUUCAAUUAUAUAGUAACA